rnacentral:rRNA from 1 species
AUUGAGAGUUUGAUCCUGGCUCAGGACGAACGCUGGCGGCGUGCCUAACACAUGCAAGUCGAGCGAUGAAGCUUCUUCGGAAGUGGAUUAGCGGCGGACGGGUGAGUAACACGUGGGCAACCUGCCUCAUAGAGAGGGAUAGC